UACAGAGGUCCCGAGCGUUGUUCGGAUUCACUGGGCGUAAAGGGUGCGUAGGCGGUUCUGAAAGUCUGAUGUGAAAUCUCCAGGCCCAACCUCGAGAUGUCGGCUGAAACCAUCUGGCUAGAGUCCGGAAGAGGAGAAUGGAAUUCCCGGUGUAGCGGUGAAAUGCGCAGAUAUCGGGAAGAACACCCGUGGCGAAGGCGGUUCUCUGGGACGGUACUGACGCUGAGACGCGAAAGCGUGGGGAGCGAACAGG
rnacentral:rRNA from 1 species